rnacentral:rRNA from 1 species
UACGGGGGGGGCAAGCGUUGUUCGGAAUUACUGGGCGUAAAGGGCUCGUAGGCGGCCAACUAAGUCGGAUGUGAAAUCCCCAGGCUUAACCUGGGAACUGCAUCCGAUACUGGAUGGCUUGAAUCCGGGAGAGGGAUGCAGAAUUCCAGGUGUAGCGGUGAAAUGCGUAGAUAUCUGGAGGAAUACCGGUGGCGAAGGCGACUACCUGGACCGGUUCUGACGCUGAGGCGCGAAAGCGUGGGUAGCAAACAGG